rnacentral:rRNA from 1 species
GCUAGUAAUGGCAGGUCAGCAUACUGCCGUGAAUACGUUCCCGGGCCUUGUACACACCGCCCGUCACACCAUGAGAGUCGGGAACACCCGAAGUCCGUAGUCUAACCGCAAGGGGGGCGCGGCCGAAGGUGGGUCCGGUAAUUGGGGUGAAGUCGUAACAAGGUAAC